rnacentral:misc_RNA from 1 species
GAUGAAGAACGCAGCAAAAUGCGAUAAGUAAUGUGAAUUGCAGAAUUCAGUGAAUCAUCGAAUCUUUGAACGCACAUUGCGCCCGCUGGUAUUCCGGGGGGCAUGCCUGUUCGAGCGUCAUUACAACCCUCAAGCUCUGCUUGGUAUUGGGCCCCGCCAGUUCUGGCGGGCCCUAAAGUCAGUGGCGGUGCCUUCCGGCUCCGAGCGUAGUAAUUCUUCUCGCUCUGGAGACCCGGUUGUGUGCUUGCCAACAACCCCCAAUUUUUUAAGGUUGACCUCGGAUCAGGUAGGGAUACCCGCUGAACUUAAGCAUAUCAAUAAGCGGAGGA